rnacentral:rRNA from 1 species
GGCAUGCAAGUCGAACGAGGAUGUAUCCUUCGGGAUAUAAGCCGAGUGGCGCAAGGGUGAGUAAUGCAUAGAUUACCUGCCUUUAGGGUAAGGACAACUUUGUGAAAACGAAGCUAAUACUUAAUAAUACAAAAGGAAAUAAUUUUCUUUUGUCAAAUGGAGGGUAGCAAUAUCUUUUACCUAAAGAGGGGUUUAUGUCCUAUCAGCUUGUUGGUGGGGUAAUGGCCUACCAAGGCAAAGACGGGUAGCCGGCCUUAGAGGGUGGUCGGCCACACUGGGACUGAGACACUGCCCAGACUUCUACGGAAGGCUGCAGUCGAGAAUCUUUCGCAAUGCCCGAAAGGGUGACGAAGCGACGCCGCGUGGGUGAGGAAGGCCUUCGGGUUGUAAAGCCCUGUCAGGAGUUAAGAAAUGUAGGCAUGCUAAUACCGUGUCUAUUUGACAAAGGCUCCAAAGGAAGCCACGGCUAACUCUGUGCCAGCAGCCGCGGUAAUACAGAGGUGGCAAGCGUUGUUCGGAAUUAUUGGGCGUAAAGAGCACGUAGGUGGAUUUGUAAGUCAGAUGUGAAAGCCUUCUGUUCAACGGGAGAAUUGCAUCUGAAACUACAAACCUUGAGUAUAGGAGGGGAGAAUGGAACUUCUGGUGGAGCGGUGAAAUGCGUAGAUAUCAGAAGGAACGCCGGCGGCGAAAGCGAUUCUCUGGCCUAUUACUGACACUCAGUGUGCGAAAGCUAGGGGAGCAAACGGGAUUAGAUACCCCGGUAGUCCUAGCCGUAAACGAUGGGCACUAAGUAGAGGGGUUUU